UACGUAGGGUGCAAGCGUUAAUCGGAAUUACUGGGCGUAAAGCGUGCGCAGGCGGCUUCGCAAGACAGAUGUGAAAUCCCCGGGCUUAACCUGGGAACUGCAUUUGUGACUGUAGAGCUGGAGUACGGUAGAGGGGGAUGGAAUUCCGCGUGUAGCAGUGAAAUGCGUAGAUAUGCGGAGGAACACCGAUGGCGAAGGCAAUCCCCUGGACCUGUACUGACGCUCAUGCACGAAAGCGUGGGGAGCAAACAGG
rnacentral:rRNA from 1 species